UACGGAGGGUGCGAGCGUUGUCCGGAAUCACUGGGCGUAAAGGGCGCGUAGGCGGCGCGGAAAGUCGUCGGUGAAAGCUCAGGGCUCAACUCUGAGUCGGCCGGUGAUACUCCCGCGCUCGAGCUCACUAGAGGCAGAUGGAAUUCCGGGUGUAGCGGUGGAAUGCGUAGAGAUCCGGAAGAACACCGGUGGCGAAGGCGGUCUGCUGGGGUGAGGCUGACGCUGAUGCGCGACAGCGUGGGGAGCAAACAGG
rnacentral:rRNA from 1 species